GCUGGGUUGUGGAAGGGUUAGAGGCUUUUUAUGGCAAUGUUGGGAGGCCUAACAUAACAUGUGGUAGGUAACGAUACAUAACGAUAUAAGCAAGAACUAGCAUAGCAAUGAUAGUAGUGGUAUCCAGGGAAAUGAUCAUCUUGCCUGUGAUCCCACUUGGAAGAAGAACGAAUCAGUGAAGCAGACGAACCAACGUAGUCGAACCAAUCCUCAUACUCCGAAGCGGUUCGGAACUCUAUCGAAAAAAAAA
rnacentral:lncRNA from 1 species